AUCCUUCAUCUGACUGGGAAGUGUUUUUUCAUGAUGGUUUUUUGUUUACUUCUCCCAAACUAGUCUUUUACAAUGAAAUUUAUUGCAGUGAUAUGAGUUCAUACAGUUACAUAGGUGUCAGCCUUGGCUGGUGUGGCUCAGUGGGUUAAGCACCAGCCAACGAACCAAAGGGUCACCUGCUCCAUUCUUGGUCAGAGCACGCGACUGGG